rnacentral:misc_RNA from 1 species
CGCACCUUGCACUCCUUGGUAUUCCGAGGAGUAUGCCUGUUUGAGUGUCAUUAAAUUCUCAACUACACUAGUUUUCACCGACUAUGUGUGGCUUGGAUCUUGGGAUCUGCAGGUUUCAAUUGAAAUCAGCUGUCCUUAAAUGCAUUAGCAAGACUUUUGUAGCUGGCUAUCAGUAUGAUAACUAUCUAUGCUGUUAGCACGCCGCAUGAAUGGGGUUUUGCUUCUAACUGUCUAUUACUGGACAACUUAUGACAAUUUGACCUCAAAUCAGGUAGGACUACCCGCUGAACUUAA